CAGAGUUUCCAGCCUCAGAUCUACAUCAAAAUGGCACAAAUGAUGAUGAGGAUGGUGUUCAGAAUUGUACUUUUACAGAGCUGCUAUCCACAGGUAUUCAUGCGGACGAGGAAUUUUAUGUUCACCACACACCCAAUGGCACUAGAAUGUGGUGUCCUAAUGUUCCUAUUGUUUUAAAGCCUGUUGUUGGUUGUGUAUAUGAAACGUAGAAG